rnacentral:lncRNA from 1 species
CUCAGCCUCCUCCACACCUACCUCGACUUCUUCAAAGCCUCGAUGAAAUACUUAAGGUGAUGAACAUGCUAAAAUGAAAUAAUAAAAUAUUAGAUAUGAAGGCAAUAAGCUUGGUAUAUAGUGAGGAGGAGAAGUGAUCCGAACUCACCUAGAGGAGCGAAUCGUAGGCAUUGCAAGCGUGAUACUCGAAGCCCUCUACCUUGAUGAGUUCC